AUUGAACGCUGGCGGCAGGCCUAACACAUGCAAGUCGAACGGUAACAGGAAACAGCUUGCUGUUUCGCUGACGAGUGGCGGACGGGUGAGUAAUGUCUGGGAAACUGCCUGAUGGAGGGGGAUAACUACUGGAAACGGUAGCUAAUACCGCAUAACGUCGCAAGACCAAAGAGGGGGACCCUCGGGCCUCUUGCCAUCGGACGUGCCCAGAUGGGAUUAGCUUGUUGGUGGGGUAACGGCUCACCAAGGCGACGAUCCCUAGCUGGUCUGAGAGGAUGACCAGCCACACUGGAACUGAGACACGGUCCAGACUCCUACGGGAGGCAGCAGUGGGGAAUAUUGCACAAUGGGCGCAAGCCUGAUGCAGCCAUGCCGCGUGUAUGAAGAAGGCCUUCGGGUUGUAAAGUACUUUCAGCGGGGAGGAAGGGAGUAAAGUUAAUACCUUUGCUCAUUGACGUUACCCGCAGAAGAAGCACCGGCUAACUCCGUG
rnacentral:rRNA from 1 species